rnacentral:rRNA from 1 species
CCUACGGGAGGCAGCAGUGGGGAAUAUUGCACAAUGGGCGAAAGCCUGAUGCAGCGACGCCGCGUGAGGGAUGACGGCCUUCGGGUUGUAAACCUCUUUCAGCAGGGAAGAAGCGAAAGUGACGGUACCUGCAGAAGAAGCGCCGGCUAACUACGUGCCAGCAGCCGCGGUAAUACGUAGGGCGCAAGCGUUGUCCGGAAUUAUUGGGCGUAAAGAGCUCGUAGGCGGCUUGUCACGUUCGGAUGUGAAAGCCCGGGGCUUAACCCCGGGUCUGCAUUCGAUACGGGCAGGCUAGAGUGUGGUAGGGGAGAUCGGAAUUCCUGGUGUAGCGGUGAAAUGCGCAGAUAUCAGGAGGAACACCGGUGGCGAAGGCGGAUCUCUGGGCCAUUACUGACGCUGAGGAGCGAAAGCGUGGGGAGCGAACAGGAUUAGAUACCCUGGUAGUCCACGCCGUAAACGUUGGGAACUAGGUGUUAGGCGACAUUCCCUACGUCGUCGGUGCGCGAGCUACGACAUACGUUACCCGUCCGUCGGGAGGUACGGCCGCCGACGGACGUAAACGUUAAACGUUAGUAAGUUAGUACGGUUCGUUAGUAGACGUUAGCCGACGGCGACGACGAGGGAGGAGG